rnacentral:rRNA from 1 species
UACGUAGGGUGCGAGCGUUAAUCGGAAUUACUGGGCGUAAAGGGUGCGCAGGCGGUUAUAUAAGACAGAUGUGAAAUCCCCGGGCUCAACCUGGGAACUGCGUUUGUCACUGUAUGACUAGAGUACGGUAGAGAGGGGUGGAAUUCCUGGUGUAGCAGUGAAAUGCGUAGAUAUCAGGAGGAACAUCGAUGGCGAAGGCAGCCCCUUGGACCUGUACUGACGCUCAUGCACGAAAGCGUGGGGAGCAAACAGG